rnacentral:tRNA from 1 species
GGAGAGAUAGUCCGUAAGUGGAAGCGGGCCUGACUGUAAAUCAGGUGCCCCUGGCCUUGAAGGUUCGAUCCCUUCUCUCUCCACCA